UACGGGGGGGGCAAGCGUUGUUCGGAAUUACUGGGCGUAAAGGGCGCGUAGGCGGUUUGCUAAGUUGAAUGUGAAAACUCUGGGCUUAACCCAGAGCCUGCAUUCAAUACUGGCAGGCUAGAGUUCUGGAGGGGAUAGCGGAAUUCCUGGUGUAGCGGUGAAAUGCGUAGAUAUCAGGAGGAACACCGGUGGCGAAGGCGGCUAUCUGGACAGAGUCUGACGCUGAGGCGCGAAAGCUAGGGGAGCAAACAGG
rnacentral:rRNA from 3 species